UACAGAGGUGGCAAGCGUUGUUCGGAAUUACUGGGCGUAAAGCGUGCGCAGGCGGUUUUGUAAGUCUGUCGUGAAAUCCCCGGGCUCAACCUGGGAACUGCAUUUGUGACUGCAUCGCUGGAGUACGGCAGAGGGGGAUGGAAUUCCGCGUGUAGCAGUGAAAUGCGUAGAUAUGCGGAGGAACACCGAUGGCGAAGGCAAUCCCCUGGGCCUGUACUGACGCUCAUGCACGAAAGCGUGGGGAGCAAACAGG
rnacentral:rRNA from 1 species